UGCCAGCAGCCGCGGUAAUACGGUGGGUACAAACGUUGUUCGGAAUCACUGGGCAUAAAGAGCACGUAGGCGGCCUAAUCAGUCGGGUGUGAAAGCCCUCGGCUCAACCGAGGAACUGCAUUCGAUACUAUUAGGCUCGAGGAUGGCAGGGGUAAGUGGAACUCCAGGUGGAACGGUGAAAUGUGUAGAUAUCUGGAGGAACACCGGUGGCGAAAGCGGCUUACUGGGCCAUAUCUGACGCUGAGGUGCGAAAGCUAGGGUAGCGAACGGGAUUAGAUA
rnacentral:rRNA from 1 species